UCUAAUAGUCCAUUGACUUGGACACUAUUAUUAUGAUCU
rnacentral:rRNA from 1 species